AACGAACGCUGGCGGCAUGCCUAACACAUGCAAGUCGAACGAGACCUUCGGGUCUAGUGGCGCACGGGUGCGUAACGCGUGGGAACCUGCCCUUAGGUUCGGAAUAACUCCCCGAAAGGGGUGCUAAUACCGGAUAAUGUCUUCGGACCAAAGAUUUAUCGCCUUUGGAUGGGCCCGCGUUGGAUUAGCUAGUUGGUAGGGUAAAAGCCUACCAAGGCGACGAUCCAUAGCUGGUCUGAGAGGAUGAUCAGCCACACUGGGACUGAGACACGGCCCAGACUCCUACGGGAGACAGCAGUGGGGAAUCUUGGACAAUGGGCGAAAGCCUGAUCCAGCAAUGCCGCGUGAGUGAUGAAGGCCUUAGGGUUGUAAAGCUCUUUUACCCGGGAUGAUAAUGACAGUACCGGGAGAAUAAGCUCCGGCUAACUCCGUG
rnacentral:rRNA from 1 species